GAGGGCAUAUCUCAAUGGUAGAGUGCAUGCUUAGCACGCAAGAGGUCCUGGGUUCACUCCCCAGUACUCUCU
rnacentral:tRNA from 1 species